rnacentral:rRNA from 1 species
UACGGAGGGGGCUAGCGUUGUUCGGAAUUACUGGGCGUAAAGCGCACGUAGGCGGCUUUGUAAGUUAGAGGUGAAAGCCCGGGGCUCAACUCCGGAACUGCCUUUAAGACUGCAUCGCUUGAAUCCAGGAGAGGUGAGUGGAAUUCCGAGUGUAGAGGUGAAAUUCGUAGAUAUUCGGAAGAACACCAGUGGCGAAGGCGGCUCACUGGACUGGUAUUGACGCUGAGGUGGCGAAAGCGUGGGGAGCAAACAGG